AUUGAACGCUGGCGGCAGGCUUAACACAUGCAAGUCGAACGAUGACUCUCUAGCUUGCUAGGGAUGAUUAGUGGCGGACGGGUGAGUAACAUUUAGGAAUCUGCCUAGUAGUGGGGGAUAGCUCGGCGAAACUCGAAUUAAUACCGCAUACGACCUACGGGUGAAAGGGGGCGCAAGCUCUUGCUAUUAGAUGAGCCUAAAUCAGAUUAGCUAGUUGGUGGGGUAAAGGCCCACCAAGGCGACGAUCUGUAACUGGUCUGAGAGGAUGAUCAGUCACACCGGAACUGAGACACGGUCCGGACUCCUACGGGAGGCAGCAGUGGGGAAUAUUGGACAAUGGGGGCAACCCUGAUCCAGCCAUGCCGCGUGUGUGAAGAAGGCCUUGUGGUUGUAAAGCACUUUAAGCAGGGAGGAGAGGCUAAUGGUUAAUACCCAUUAGAUUAGACGUUACCUGCAGAAUAAGCACCGGCUAACUCUGUG
rnacentral:rRNA from 1 species